UACGUAGGGUGCAAGCGUUAAUCGGAAUUACUGGGCGUAAAGCGUGCGCAGGCGGUUAUGUAAGACAGAUGUGAAAUGCCCGGGCUUAACCUGGGAACUGCAUUUGUGACUGCAUGGCUAGAGUUUGGCAGAGGGGGGUAGAAUUCCACGUGUAGCAGUGAAAUGCGUAGAUAUGUGGAGGAACACCGAUGGCGAAGGCGGCAUCCUGGACCGACACUGACGCUGAGGAGCGAAAGCCAGGGGAGCAAACGGG
rnacentral:rRNA from 1 species